rnacentral:lncRNA from 1 species
AUGGAGGUGAUAUGGCGAGAGAGCAGAAGGCAUGGCCUGCUUUUGAAGAGCUUACACUCAAGACGGGAAGCAAAAAUGCUCCUAUUAGACACUCAGCAGCAUAGAAGUCCUGACAAACCUCGACUGAGCAGAUACAACAUGCCACAUACUCUGAUCACUGCAGGCGUAGGGGCUUAUCUGACCCUCUUAACAACCCCCCAAGUCCUUACUGCUAUUCCUGGGUCUGAGCUCAGACCUCAAGCAGUCUGGCAGGCAUGGGCUGGUCACAACAUGUCUCAGGACAAAGAUUGAGGUGUAGCUCGACCAGUGACAGCCUUCUCUGAGGAGCUCAGCUGAGUUCUAGAGGAAAAAUAGAAUUCAGACUGGCAGGUGCCAAGGCGGGCUGGCAUGUGGCCAUGGUGGGCUUUGACUCCAGAUCUAACUCUGGAAGGCAUCGCUCAACCACAGAGUCCUUGAAACAAACUAUUCACUAAGUGGGCCAAGUAUUACUUCCAUUUCAUAGAUGAAGACACGAAGUCUGAAUGAGGCAAGUAACUUGAGUAAGUCUGCUCCACUCACUAGCAAGCCAGGCUUUGGGACAACUAUGUCUCUUGCCCCACCUCACCCUCCCAGCCCCUGUGAGAUGGCCAGCCUGGCACCCUUCCUUCUCCUGGGACCCAUGCAACUGCGACUCUCCUAAAGAGUGGAGGGCCCGCGGGCCCCACCAGCCUGAAGGCCCUGUGGGGCCCCACGCACCCCCUCCCCUGGGAGCUGGCGGCCACAGUGCAGCCCUGGCCACGUGUUUGUGCCUGCUGGGCUGGGCCUGUUACUUCACACAGCUGGCACUCCUGCCGCAGCCUCUGCCAGAGGGCUGGGCCGGCUCCCCUAUCUCCCCUGCCGCAGCUGUGUUUUCAACAGGGAGAGUCACUCCAGUCACCCCUCCUGAAUCCCGGGCUCUGGACGCAGCCAGCAGGGUGACAGGAGGAUGAGAUUAGGUGGGCGGGCAGGCCCCUGGGCCCCGGGACAGGCUGCUCACCGCGAGAACCAAGGGACGAGGGCAGGACACAGAGACUACAGGCAGGAAGGAAGAAAGAAACACAGGCGAGGGGAAGACGGAGGGACGGAGGGACAGAAGGACAGAGGGACGGACGGAGGGAGGGAGGGACAGAAGGACAGAGGGAGGGAUGGGGGGUCGGAGGGACAGAGGGACAAAGGGCCA